CCCUUAGAUGUUCUGGGCCGCACGCGCGCUACACUGUUCGACGCAGCGAGUCUUAACCUUGACCGAAAGGUUUGGGUAAUCUUCAGCAAAGUCGAACGUGAUGGGGAUCGAUCAUUGCAAUUAUUGAUCGUGAACGAGGAAUUCCUAGUAAGUGCAAGUCAUCAGCUUGCGCUGAUUACGUCCCUGCCCUUUGUACACACCGCCCGUCGCUACUACCGAUUGAAUGGUUUAGUGAGAUCUCUGGAUUGACGCUGGCUAGGGGGCGACCCUUGGCCAGACUGUUGAGAAACUGCUCAAACUUGAUCAUUUAGAGGAAGUAAAAGUCUUAACA
rnacentral:rRNA from 1 species